UUUUUUUUUUUUUUAAAUCUUUGCAGAUUGCACAAUUUCCUGUUUAUCAUUGAGGUCACUACCCAAAUGAUAUUAAUUUAAAAGAUCUUUUCAUAUAUAUACAUUAAUUUCCAUAGAAAUCGUCACCACUGCUCCAAGAUUUCAAAUUGAAAUCUCAAUCAGAAACAAAUGGAUAAAAAAAAAAAGAUUUUUGGUAUAAAUUAAUUAUCCCUGAAGAAAUAGUUUAAAUGCUUAAAUGCCCAAUAAUCUGUGUUUAUUUUGUUAACACAUUAAGACAAUAGUACCCCAAAAUUAAAAACAAAAACAUAUGAUGCAGAAACAUAAACAAGUGUGAUCCAGUAACAUUGGAGCACAUCUCCAUGAAGACAAAAAAAGGAGAAGGCUCAAGCAGAAAGGAUAUUGCUAUACGCACAGAUAAAAUCCUGGAAACUGCAAUCUUUGCUCCCAAGAAGAACUAUGUGCGACAUUUAAAUAAAUCUAUCCUUCAAACACUAACCCAAAAUCUCAGAUGCCAGUCGCCGCUCAAAGAGGGAUUACUUCGUG
rnacentral:misc_RNA from 1 species